UGAGGGAUCAGGAAAUCAUUGAUUGAAGAUCAGGAAAUCAUGUUUGAAAGCAUGAUCCUAACCAUGCGAUCAACGUUCUUAAUACGAUAAUCAUGUUACUAAUUGAGGAGUUUGAUAUUACAAAAUACGAUAGAUGUAGUAGAUGGAAUACAAAGUCCGGCAAUUAAUAGUAAAUGCUAUAAAAUAGAGAGAUACGUUGGUGGUGACACCAUCUCAUCGUUGAACGUGAGUGUGCCGCCAUGUUGUUUGAAUUGGAGCUUGCAACGUCGGUCACAAUCCUCCGAUGUGCGCUUGGCGAGCUCCGGUGGUCGGCAUCGUCCGUUGAUGAUCUCCAAUACCUUGUAUCGUCGGAGAGGCUUGGAUGUCGAUGGUUCAUUAGCACAACAUUGUGUGGUAAGGUAGGAUGCAUCAUGG
rnacentral:lncRNA from 1 species